rnacentral:rRNA from 1 species
UACAGAGGUCCCAAGCGUUGUUCGGAUUCACUGGGCGUAAAGGGUGCGUAGGUGGUGGGGUAAGUCGGAUGUGAAAGCUCGGAGCUCAACUCCGAAAUGGCAUUGGAAACUACCCUGCUAGAGGAUUGGAGGGGGGACUGGAAUACUUGGUGUAGCAGUGAAAUGCGUAGAUAUCAAGUGGAACACCAGUGGCGAAGGCGAGUCCCUGGACAAUACCUGACACUGAGGCACGAAAGCUAGGGGAGCGAACAGG